GUAUAUGGCCAUGCCACCCUGAACAAGCCUGAUCCUGUCUGAUUUUGGAAGCUAAGCAGGGUCGGGCCUGGUUAGUACUUGGAUGGGAGACCACCUAGGAAGGCUGGGUGCUGUAGGCA
rnacentral:rRNA from 1 species